GGAUGUUUGGUGUAAUAGUAGCAUACCGGAUUCCAAACCCGUAGGUCCUGGUGCAAAUCCAGGUUCGUCCA
rnacentral:tRNA from 1 species